GACGACCGCUGGCGGCGUGCUUAACACAUGCAAGUCGAACGAAGUGGCGAACGGGUGAGUAACGCGUAAUCAACCUGCCCUUCAGAGGGGGACAACAGUUGGAAACGACUGCUAAUACCGCAUACUGAAGGAGGGGACUGCGUCUGAUUAGCUAGUGGGAGGGGGAACGGCCCACCAAGGCGAAGCUCAGUAGCCGGUCUGGGAGGAUGAACCGCCACAUUGGGACUGAGGAACGGCCCAGACUUCUACGGGAGGCAGCAGUGGGGAAACUUCCGCAAUUGGCGGAAGUCUGACGGGGCAACGCCGCGUGAGUGAUGACAGCCUUCGGGUUGGAAAGCUCUGUUAAUCGGGACGCGGUACCGAAAUAGAAAGCCACGGCUAACUACGUGCCAGCAGCCGCGGUAAUAC
rnacentral:rRNA from 1 species